rnacentral:rRNA from 1 species
UAGGGAAUAUUAGAAAUGGACGAAAGUCUGAUCUAGCAACACCGCGUGUGCGAAGAAGGCCUUUGGGUCGUAAAGCACUUUUUGGAAGGAAUAGGAAGGAAUGUACUUCCAGAAUAAGUCUCGGCUAACUACGUGCCAGCAGCCGCGGUAACACGUAGGAGGCAAACGUUAUCCGGAUUUACUGGGCGUAAAGCGCGUGUAGGUGGUACUGUAAGUAGGGCGUGAAAGCUCCUGGCUCAACUGGGAGAGGUCGUUCUAAACUACAGAACUAGAGGAUGGUAGAGGGAGGUGGAAUUCCAGGUGUAGCGGUGGAAUGCGCAGAUACCUGGAGGAACACCGGUGGCGAAGGCGGCCUCCUGGACCAUUCCUGACACUCAGACGCGAAAGCUAGGGUAGCAAACGG